CAAUAGCGUAUAUUAAAGUUGUUGCAGUUAAAAAGCUCGUAGUUGGAUUUGUGGCGUACGGUGUGUUCCGGGCACUUGUUGUCUGAGUAACCUGCUGUUGCCAUCCUUGGGUGGAACCUGUGCGGCAUUAGGUUGUCGUGCAGGGGAUGCCCAUCAUUUACUGUGAAAAAAUUAGAGUGUUCAAAGCAGGCUUAUGCCGUUGAGUAUAUUAGCAUGGAAUAAUGAGAUAGGACUUUUUUGCUAUUUUGUUGGUUUGCGCAAAGAGGUAAUGAUUAAUAGGGACAGUUGGGGGUAUUCGUAUUCCAUUGUCAGAGGUGAAAUUCUUGGAUUUUUGGAAGACGAACUACUGCGAAAGCAUUUACCAAGGAUGUUUUCAUUAA
rnacentral:rRNA from 1 species